GGAGAAAGCAACGCCUGGGCGGCUGCAGCGACAGAAGUUUAUAAAUACUGCCGCCUCCCGUGAGUCCGAGAUCAUUUGACACCUCACGGUUGUGCUGCGUCUUGGUGUCGCCCGUAGCAGGAGAUCACAGCUGCCUCUUUGGAGUGUGCCAACUUGAAAAGAUCUAGUUUGUCUGCCCUUGGAGAUAACCUCACCCAGUGCGAACACUUACAUUCGUUUUAGAGAAUUCUACGUUAUUUAACGCUUCUGCCAAUGUAUAUCAACUGGUUCAGUUGAAAGAUUUAACCAAUAGUGUAACACUUUUGAGCUGAAAAAAAAAGUUGUAAAUUA